rnacentral:rRNA from 1 species
AUUGAACGCUGGCGGCAGGCCUAACACAUGCAAGUCGAACGGUAACAGGAAGAAGCUUGCUUCUUUGCUGACGAGUGGCGGACGGGUGAGUAAUGUCUGGGAAACUGCCUGCUGGAGGGGGAUAACUACUGGAAACGGUAGCUAAUACCGCAUAACGUCGCAAGACCAAAGAGGGGGACCUUCGGGCCUCUUGCCAUCGGAUGUGCCCAGAUGGGAUUAGCUUGUUGGUGGGGUAACGUCUCACCAAGGCGACGAUCCCUAGCUGGUCUGAGAGGAUGACCAGCCACACUGGAACGGAGACACGGUCCAGACUCCUGCGAGAGGCAGCAGUGGGGAAUAUUGCACAAUGGGCGCAAGCCUGAUGCAGCCAUGCCGCGUGUAUGAAGAAGGCCUUCGGGUUGUAAAGUACUUUCAGCGGGGAGGAAGGGAGUAAAGUUAAUACCUUUGCUCAUUGACGUUACCCGCAGAAGAAGCACCGGCUAACUCCGUG